UACGUAGGGUGCAAGCGUUAUCCGGAAUUAUUGGGCGUAAAGAGCUCGUAGGCGGUUUGUCGCGUCUGCUGUGAAAACUGGAGGCUCAACCUCCAGCCUGCAGUGGGUACGGGCAGACUAGAGUGCGGUAGGGGAGAUUGGAAUUCCUGGUGUAGCGGUGAAAUGCGCAGAUAUCAGGAAGAACACCUAUGGCGAAGGCAGCUCUCUGGGACGGUACUGACGCUGAGACGCGAAAGCGUGGGGAGCGAACAGG
rnacentral:rRNA from 1 species